UGCCACCUGGCAUCUUAUCGCUCCUUCUUGAAUCAAUAUGAGCGGCAAAACCACACACCUCCGCUCUUUUUCCUUCUCCGUUCCAAACCCUAAAUGCCACACAUUCUUUCUUCCUCUCCUCUUUACACUGUUGCUGCUUCUUCUACAUUCCUUUUUUUCGCCAAUGUCUUUCAUCGGUCUCACACUCAGAAUGAAAUUCCUUCUCCUUCGAUCUCCUUUCCUAUUUCACUAUAAACUAACCCUAUAAAUCUUUCAAGCAACACAACAUUCUCCGCCUUCGAUCUCUAAUCACAUCGAUGGAAAUUUUUAUCCUCAGGUAACCUUACAUGGCGAGUUGAAUCAAGUAAGCAACAGAAACCCUAAAUUGGAACCAGGUGAACUCUCAUCCAGGGGAUGACGACUAUCCUACAGGUGGAUCACUAUGCUCAAAAGGUUCGCCCCGUUUUCUUUCCAUUUACUGUUCUCCUUGCAAACGUCAAAGAAGCAGUGAUUCAUGAUUUCUAUAUCUUGAAGAAGAAAAGAGUCCAUCUAUUGAAGUCCUUCCCGAUGAGAUUCUUUAUGAAAUCUUUAGGCGUUUGCCCGGUGGUCAAGCUCGAAGUGCAGAGAUGUGUGUCUCUAGCUGUUGACUCACUGUUCUGAGUAAUGUUAGAAACAGAGAUUGUUCAUGAACCAUCUAAUGACUCUGAAAUGGUUCAAGAAAAUGAUGCAUUUCUUACUAUAUGCUUAGAAGGAAAGAAAGCAACAAAUAUCUAUUUUUGACACGAUAAGGGAUAGAUAAAGAAUGAUUGCGGUUCAAGCAGUGUCUUCCAAAUGAGAUGGCUCACUACGCUGCAGGCUGUUGGGAUGCUGAAAUCGAGUCUUCUUAUGGAGGACUGGUUGGACCGAGUGUGUUGGGAUUGCUGACAUAUCCACAUAUGACCUGCGUGCACCCACUG